GAAAUUUUAAUGGUCUAAUGUAUUAAUUAUUAUUAGUCUAGAUCUAAUUGUUAUGGGAGGAAAGGAAAAAGGAGGAAAGAAUAAAGGAGAGACGAAAGGAGAGAAAAGAAUGCUACUACACUACUGCAGGGGAAAAAAAAACCAAUAAGAUGAACAAGCCAAGGCACAGCUCCAGGCAGGUUGAGACAAGUUCAGAUAAAGCAAUCCUGACAAGCCUAAGGCCUUGCAAGACCUCCAGCAUUGCACAAGCCAAAGUACUUCCUAACCGCAGAGCUCAUUUGUGAGGUUUUACCAGAACUUUCAGGAAG
ensembl:lncRNA